rnacentral:rRNA from 1 species
GGACCCGCACAAGUGGUGGAGCAUGUUGUUUAAUUCGACGAUACACGUAGAACCUUACCUAGACUUGACAUCCUUGGCGAAGUUAUAGAAAUAUAAUGGAGGUUAACCGAGAGACAGGUGGUGCAUGGUUGUCGUCAGCUCGUGUCGUGAGAUGUUGGGUUAAGUCCCGCAACGAGCGCAACCCUUAUCGUUAGUUAUUUUGUCUAACGAGACUGCCAACGCAAGUUGGAGGAAGGUGGGGAUGACGUCAAAUCAUCAUGCCCCUUAUGUCUAGGGCCACAAACGUGCUACAAUGGUCGGUACAAACAGUCGAUAAUUCGUAAGAUAGAGCUAAUCUGUAAAGCCGAUCUCAGUUCGGAUAGAGGGCUGAAAUUCGCCCUCUUGAAGUUGGAAUCACUAGUAAUCGCGAAUCAGCCAUGUCGCGGUGAAUACGUUCUCGGGUCUUGUACACACCGCCCGU